UCGCUGAGGGGAAAUGAAUGGCUGGCUUGUUCAUUAAGACACCUGCUGAAUGAAGGAAACAUGAUGAAGGUAAAGACGUGAUGAGAAGUGACAACAUUGCACUCAUCAAAUGCAAAUUGUACACACUGCCAGCGGCCAGGAAGCAGCGACGCUGAACAUCCACUUUUAGGGCAAGUUCUGCCAGCACCUCUGUUGGCAGCACGCCAGGACACGCCCCUGCUCACGCUGGCCACAUCACGCCCACGUGCCGGCAAAGCUGCAGACAAUCACUGAUCAGCGCACCUGGGACCAAUGAGGGAGGACAGCAUAAAGACCAGCGGACCCGAUGAUCCUUUGCCGAAACGUAGUUUCACUCCCGUAUGCUUCCCGUGUCUCCCGUGAUAGAGCUGUAUGCCUCGACUCCCCUUUAGACUUUGGACUGCCUCCCUCGAUCCUCGACCCCCCUGUUGGACACGGACCCCUUUGGGCGCCUCACUAUAUUCCCCGACAAUCUGCCUGUCUCACGGACCUUCUUCUGCCUAGACAUGAUUACAUUUACGGAUUCCUUCCAUUCUGGAGCUGCAUGAAUUCCAGUGUCGAGGAUCUGGUGAAUGUUGCUUGCAGUGUGACCACAAGGAUGCAGAGAAUAACAGGCGGAAAUGCAAGUAAAACAAACUUUAUAAUCACAAGGAAGCAUGGAACAAACAAAAACAUCACACGAAGCAUCAGUCUCAAAAGUAGAAUGAUCCAGCACUGAAGGAGGGACCCAGGUAGAACUAAUUAAACGAGGAACAGGUAGGCUGACAGGACAUGGAACAGCUGGUAAAGAUGCUUCAAAACACAAAGACCAAACAGGAAACACUGACAAAACAAGAGCACCAGGACAGGAAGUGAUCCUAAACACAAAAACACAGGAAAACCCAAACAUAAC